rnacentral:rRNA from 1 species
UACGUAGGCAGCAAGCGUUGUUCGGAAUUACUGGGCGUAAAGAGUGUGUAGGCGGUGCUCUAAGUUCGUUGUGAAAUCUCCCGGCUUAACUGGGAGGGUGCGGCGGAAACUGGAGUGCUUGAGCGCGGGAGAGGAAAGCGGAAUUCCUGGUGUAGCCGUGAAAUGCGUAGAUAUCAGGAGGAACACCAAUUGCGAAGGCAGCUCGCUGGGACGUUACUGACGCUGAGACGCGAAAGCGUGGGGAGCAAACAGG